GAAUCUGAAAGUUAAAGGGUGCUGUUC
rnacentral:piRNA from 1 species